UACGGAGGGUGCGAGCGUUGUCCGGAUUUAUUGGGUUUAAAGGGUGCGUAGGCGGUCUGGUAAGUCGGCGAUGAAAGCCCGGGGCUCAACCCCGGAACUGUCGUCGAUACUGUCGGACUUGAGUACGGUUGAGGCUGGCGGAAUGGGCGGUGUAGCGGUGAAAUGCAUAGAUACCGUCCAGAACCCCGAUUGCGAAGGCAGCUGGCUAAGCCGUAACUGACGCUGAGGCACGAAAGCGUGGGGAGCGAACAGG
rnacentral:rRNA from 1 species